GAGUCAGAAUGUCAACACUGAUAACGCUGCUCCUGAGGAGGAGUGAGUGGAGGGGUGGGGAGAAAUCACAGCCUUGAGCAAAUCCCAUGGGAGCAACUAGGGCCAGGGGCUGUGAGCCAGAGGGCUGCCUUUCCCCGUCUCUGAAAAGCGGCCAACUUCUCCGACAUCAGCCACCAGACAGAGAGCUACAGAGACAGGGAGCCUGGAGAAAUUGCUGAGUGCCAGUGAGCCCCAGGGAGAAGAGGAACCUAGAGAUCCCUAUUCUCUCAAGAUUCAAGGCCCAAAUCAAAGAUAUCUCCUAGAAGAAAAUGUCCUGCGAGUGGUACCUCUUGAUUGGCAGCCCACUGAUCUCUUUAUUUUUUUUUCUCUUAUGGAUGACAGAUUGAACCCAGAACCUCGCAAUCACUCUACCACUAAGCCCGAUCUCCUAUUAGAAGAUCUCCUAUUAGACACCUCCUCGACUGGACAUCCAUUGCUCCAUUAGACUCCAAUCUCCAUGAAGGCUGAGGAUGGGAAUUGCUACCUCUUCCUGCCCCCAGAAGAAGACAGUAACCAUAUCACAAAGAUACUCAAGCUGUCCAUAAAUUGGCUGGAAUGGGGAGAAGCUGAAGCCUCCAGGCAACAGCUAGAAUCAAUUUGUGGGUAUUUGAGGAGCACCUUGGAUGUGGAUUCUCCAGCCUUAUUCAGGGUUCAAAUGACCACCCCAGAUGACGUCUUAACUCCAGUUGCACAGAAGAUUUGGAAUUACCAUCAUUCAUCUCACUUGCUACCAAAUUCCUAAUUCCUAA